AUUUUUGGAGUAAUUAACGAUUAUAUCUUUUAUCUCGGGAAAGAAGGAUAUAUGUCAAUCUACAAGUUAGGUUUAUUCCUUAUCCAGGACUCGUGUCCAUGAGAACCAAGGCAGCGCAACCCCAUCCCAUAGAUCGUAGGCAUGGAGUGUGACCCUGAUCUCGCCUUGGAGGCAGCCUAGCAGAGGAACAUCAUAGCAACAUACAAGAUCCUCUCCCUAAGUUCAUAGAAGGUUUGUCCCAAAUGUUUUGUUUAUUUUGAUUUUCCUCUUCAUCGACCUCACAUCUGGAAGUUGCCUGUCUUGUGGCCGAGGAUACAUGGCAUUCAUCACCGUAUUGGCGGCGUGGAAGGCGCCUUCAAGCCUGCACUUGCGGCUCGGGUCGACGAGGCAGCCGCAACAGGCCAACAGCCGCAACGGACCAAAGAAAUUAGAUCCAUCCAGCUUACUGCAAUGGAAUCGACCAGAACCAGAGACACCGAUGGUGAGGGGCGAUGGAGGCGCGGGCGAGACCAUGAAUCGACGGGCGCACAUGGGAGGGCGGCAAAUCGAUGGUGGCGCAGGGUCACAUGCAAGAUUACGGGAAGCAUAUAACCUGAGCUCUACGAGGGUAUGAGCUAACAGCACCUGAUCAAGUGGCUCAUUAGAAGGAAUACAUUAACAGUGCCGCACCCUUUUUUGGCCAUAUAUACAUAGCCUUUGUGCACACUUCUAACUAUAUCUGUAUAGGUUAUCACGAUGAGUCAUCACAGGUAUGGAAACUUGACAGCAUUAGCUCCGGAAAGAUGCUUUCUACUCACAGUUGAACAAGUCUGGACUGAUACAAGGUAUUGCUAGGUGGACCUUGCCAGAGCAAUCAAGUAAAUUAGCAGAUUUCAGCAGGAAAAGGGUUACUCACAGGCCUCAUAAGCAAUAUGAGGAACCCGAGAAGAGGUACAAGUUAGCUACAAAAGAUGGAAAUGAUGCGCCAACAAAUACACCAAUCUUGUUUAGUACAAAAUGGGAUGCAGAUGAUUCCAAAAGACUGAUGGUCCACCAUAAUAUAUAGAAGCAACAGGAGGGAUAGCCGAUGAAGAAUGAUAUCCAUUCAAACAAUGGUGGUGUUCCUCAAGUGAAGAUUAAUAAUAUUUUCUUUUCUAGUUGUCUCAUUUUCCAGAUAGAUAUUAUCAAGUACAUUGGUUAUAUAAGGAAUGAUUUUGACUCCAUUUCUUAAAUGAUAUUUUAAUUCCAGAAUUGUAUGUCGGAAUAUUGGUAUGUCUAUUAAUAAAAGUGGCUAUGAUCUUUUCAAUUCA